rnacentral:rRNA from 1 species
GAUGAACGCUAGCGACAGGCUUAACACAUGCAAGUCGAGGGGCAGCGGGGGUGAUGGCUUGCCAUCACCUGCCGGCGACCGGCGCACGGGUGAGUAACACGUAUCCAACCUGCCUCAUACUCGGGGAUAGCCUUUCGAAAGAAAGAUUAAUACCCGAUGUUAUAGUCCUACCGCAUGAUGGGAUUAUUAAAGAAUUUCGGUAUGGGAUGGGGAUGCGUUCCAUUAGUUAGUUGGCGGGGUAACGGCCCACCAAGACAACGAUGGAUAGGGGUUCUGAGAGGAAGGUCCCCCACAUUGGAACUGAGACACGGUCCAA